GUGCCAGCAGCCGCGGUAAUACAGAGGUCUCAAGCGUUGUUCGGAUUCAUUGGGCGUAAAGGGCGCGUAGGCGGCGAGGUAAGUCGGGUGUGAAAUCUCAGAGCUCAACUCUGAAACUGCACUCGAUACUGCUUUGCUAGAGGACUGGAGAGGAGAUUGGAAUUCACGGUGUAGCAGUGAAAUGCGUAGAGAUCGUGAGGAAGACCAGUGGCGAAGGCGGAUCUCUGGACAGUUCCUGACGCUGAGGCGCGAAGGCCAGGGGAGCAAACGGGAUUAGAUACCCCCGUAGUCC
rnacentral:rRNA from 1 species